rnacentral:tRNA from 1 species
AGUCAUACCCAAGUGGUUACGGGGUUUGACCCGAAAUCAAAUGUGAUCUUCACGCGCAGGUUCGAAUCC